GAAGUCGGACGCCCAACCCACUGAGCCACCCAGGCACCCCAGUCUCAAAAGGGAAAACAAAACUGCCCAAUGGAGAGACCAGACUGUCAUCACUCUAACCCAAGGAUCAAGUUGAGCAACCCUGAUGGUACUAAUGGUAGGUACUAGAGAUGUUGUGAUCGAAAAUCUAAAUCCCAUCCUCAAAUUUAAUGAAGGAGACAGAGAAAUAAGCAGCUUAUGCCACAGUAUGAAAGUGUACUUGUAGAGCAUAAAGAACAUGUGGAAGAGAAACAGUUUUUUGAUGUCAGUUCAAAGAAUAGCAUUUGGAUUUUCCCCCAGGAUUCAGAUGGUGAAAAGGAGACAUACUCUUGGUGAGUUGAUUUCAGUUGUGGUUUAGAGAAUAAGACAAGGAGCAAAUCAGCAGAGACAAAGUAGUUACUAAGCUAGAAAAGUCUAAUGCUUACCAGGA